rnacentral:ncRNA from 1 species
UGAUAAUUUAAUUAGGUUACUAAGAAAAUCUUUAUAAAAUUUUUAUGAAGUUUAAAAUAUAAUAAGAAUUGUAUCAGAAAAUAAAAUUUAUUUAAUAAUUAAUAAUUAUUGAGUUUUAAAAAAUUUAAUUUAGCUAAUUUUGUGCCAGCAGCAGCGGUUAUACAAAAAAAUUCAUUUCUAAUUUAAAAAAAUUAAUUUUUAAUCAACUUGGAAAUAUUAGUUAAUAAAAAAGGUGAAAUUUUUUAUUAAUUUAAAUAAAAAAUAAAUUAAAAAAUUUUAAUUUAAACUAGGAUUAGAUACCCUAUUAUUGAAAUCUUUAUGUUGUUAGUAAAUAAAAUAAUGAAAACAAAAAAUUAUGGCGGUAUUUCAAGCUUUUCAGAGGAAUUUGCUCUUUAAUGGAUAAAACACCUAAAUCUUACUAAAAUUUGUUAAAUCAGUUUGUAUACCACUAUUAAAGUAAUAAUUAACUAUUAUUACUUAAAAAUUAAUUUUAAUAAGAAGUUAAGUCAAGGUGCAGCUAAAAUUUUAGCAUGAAGUGAAUUUCAUUUCUUUUAAGAAAGAAGAAAUGAAAUUCAAUUUAGGAUUUGAAAGUAAAAAUUUAAUAAAAUGAUUUUUUGAAUAAAGCUCUGAAAUAUGUACAUAUCGCCCGUCGCUCUUUUUUUUAAGAUAAGUCGUAACAAAGUUAAAAUACUGGAAAGUGUUUU